GACGAACCGUGCGAACGUUAUUCGGAAUCACUGGGCUUAAAGCGCGUGUAGGCGGGCCGGCACGUCGGAUGUUGAAAGCCCCCGGCUCAACCGGGGAAGUGGCACCGAUACGACCGGCCUGGAGGGGGGUAGGGGGAGCCGGAACUUCCGGUGGAGCGGUGAAAUGCGUUGAGAUCGGAAGGAACGCCCGUGGCGAAAGCGGGCUCCUGGACCCCACCUGACGCUGAGACGCGAAAGCCAGGGGAGCGAACGGG
rnacentral:rRNA from 1 species